GACGAACGCUGGCGGCGUGCUUAACACAUGCAAGUCGAACGGAAAGGCCUGCUUUCCCUUGUGGAUUGCGGGUGCUCGAGUGGCGAACGGGUGAGUAACACGUGAGUGAUCUGCCCCCAACUUGGGUAUAAGCCUGGGAAACUGGGUCUAAUUCCCGAUAGGACUGCAGGGUGGUGCCUGUGGUGGAAAACGAUUUUCUAGUGGUUGGGGAUGAGCUCGCGGCCUAUCAGCUUGUUGGUGGGGUAAUGGCCUACCAAGGCGGCGACGGGUAGCCGGCCUGGGAGGGUGGACGGCCACAUUGGGACUGAGAUACGGCCCAGACUCCUACGGGAGGCAGCAGUGGGGAAUAAUGCACAAUGGGCGGAAGCCUGAUGCAGCGACGCCGCGUGGGGGAUGACGGCCUUCGGGUUGUAAACUCCUUUCGACCGCGAGGAAGCCACCUGGUUGGAAGGGUGGUGACGGUAGUGGUAGAAGAAGCACCGGCUAACUACGUG
rnacentral:rRNA from 1 species